UUAAGCGACUAAGCGUACACGGUGGAUGCCCUGGCAGUCAGAGGCGAUGAAGGACGUGCUAAUCUGCGAUAAGCGUCGGUAAGGUGAUAUGAACCGUUAUAACCGGCGAUUUCCGAAUGGGGAAACCCAGUGUGUUUCGACACACUAUCAUUAACUGAAUCCAUAGGUUAAUGAGGCGAACCGGGGGAACUGAAACAUCUAAGUACCCCGAGGAAAAGAAAUCAACCGAGAUUCCCCCAGUAGCGGCGAGCGAACGGGGAGCAGCCCAGAGCCUGAAUCAGUGUGUGUGUUAGUGGAAGCGUCUGGAAAGGCGCGCGAUACAGGGUGACAGCCCCGUACACAAAAAUGCACAUGCUGUGAGCUCGAUGAGUAGGGCGGGACACGUGGUAUCCUGUCUGAAUAUGGGGGGACCAUCCUCCAAGGCUAAAUACUCCUGACUGACCGAUAGUGAACCAGUACCGUGAGGGAAAGGCGAAAAGAACCCCGGCGAGGGGAGUGAAAAAGAACCUGAAACCGUGUACGUACAAGCAGUGGGAGCACGCUUAGGCGUGUGACUGCGUACCUUUUGUAUAAUGGGUCAGCGACUUAUAUUCUGUAGCAAGGUUAACCGAAUAGGGGAGCCGAAGGGAAACCGAGUCUUAACUGGGCGUUAAGUUGCAGGGUAUAGACCCGAAACCCGGUGAUCUAGCCAUGGGCAGGUUGAAGGUUGGGUAACACUAACUGGAGGACCGAACCGACUAAUGUUGAAAAAUUAGCGGAUGACUUGUGGCUGGGGGUGAAAGGCCAAUCAAACCGGGAGAUAGCUGGUUCUCCCCGAAAGCUAUUUAGGUAGCGCCUCGUGAAUUCAUCUCCGGGGGUAGAGCACUGUUUCGGCAAGGGGGUCAUCCCGACUUACCAACCCGAUGCAAACUGCGAAUACCGGAGAAUGUUAUCACGGGAGACACACGGCGGGUGCUAACGUCCGUCGUGAAGAGGGAAACAACCCAGACCGCCAGCUAAGGUCCCAAAGUCAUGGUUAAGUGGGAAACGAUGUGGGAAGGCCCAGACAGCCAGGAUGUUGGCUUAGAAGCAGCCAUCAUUUAAAGAAAGCGUAAUAGCUCACUGGUCGAGUCGGCCUGCGCGGAAGAUGUAACGGGGCUAAACCAUGCACCGAAGCUGCGGCAGCGACGCUGAUGCGUUGUUGGGUAGGGGAGCGUUCUGUAAGCCUGCGAAGGUGUGCUGUGAGGCAUGCUGGAGGUAUCAGAAGUGCGAAUGCUGACAUAAGUAACGAUAAAGCGGGUGAAAAGCCCGCUCGCCGGAAGACCAAGGGUUCCUGUCCAACGUUAAUCGGGGCAGGGUGAGUCGACCCCUAAGGCGAGGCCGAAAGGCGUAGUCGAUGGGAAACAGGUUAAUAUUCCUGUACUUGGUGUUACUGCGAAGGGGGGACGGAGAAGGCUAUGUUGGCCGGGCGACGGUUGUCCCGGUUUAAGCGUGUAGGCUGGUUUUCCAGGCAAAUCCGGAAAAUCAAGGCUGAGGCGUGAUGACGAGGCACUACGGUGCUGAAGCAACAAAUGCCCUGCUUCCAGGAAAAGCCUCUAAGCAUCAGGUAACAUCAAAUCGUACCCCAAACCGACACAGGUGGUCAGGUAGAGAAUACCAAGGCGCUUGAGAGAACUCGGGUGAAGGAACUAGGCAAAAUGGUGCCGUAACUUCGGGAGAAGGCACGCUGAUAUGUAGGUGAGGUCCCUCGCGGAUGGAGCUGAAAUCAGUCGAAGAUACCAGCUGGCUGCAACUGUUUAUUAAAAACACAGCACUGUGCAAACACGAAAGUGGACGUAUACGGUGUGACGCCUGCCCGGUGCCGGAAGGUUAAUUGAUGGGGUUAGCGCAAGCGAAGCUCUUGAUCGAAGCCCCGGUAAACGGCGGCCGUAACUAUAACGGUCCUAAGGUAGCGAAAUUCCUUGUCGGGUAAGUUCCGACCUGCACGAAUGGCGUAAUGAUGGCCAGGCUGUCUCCACCCGAGACUCAGUGAAAUUGAACUCGCUGUGAAGAUGCAGUGUACCCGCGGCAAGACGGAAAGACCCCGUGAACCUUUACUAUAGCUUGACACUGAACAUUGAGCCUUGAUGUGUAGGAUAGGUGGGAGGCUUAGAAGUGUGGACGCCAGUCUGCAUGGAGCCGACCUUGAAAUACCACCCUUUAAUGUUUGAUGUUCUAACGUUGACCCGUAAUCCGGGUUGCGGACAGUGUCUGGUGGGUAGUUUGACUGGGGCGGUCUCCUCCUAAAGAGUAACGGAGGAGCACGAAGGUUGGCUAAUCCUGGUCGGACAUCAGGAGGUUAGUGCAAUGGCAUAAGCCAGCUUGACUGCGAGCGUGACGGCGCGAGCAGGUGCGAAAGCAGGUCAUAGUGAUCCGGUGGUUCUGAAUGGAAGGGCCAUCGCUCAACGGAUAAAAGGUACUCCGGGGAUAACAGGCUGAUACCGCCCAAGAGUUCAUAUCGACGGCGGUGUUUGGCACCUCGAUGUCGGCUCAUCACAUCCUGGGGCUGAAGUAGGUCCCAAGGGUAUGGCUGUUCGCCAUUUAAAGUGGUACGCGAGCUGGGUUUAGAACGUCGUGAGACAGUUCGGUCCCUAUCUGCCGUGGGCGCUGGAGAACUGAGGGGGGCUGCUCCUAGUACGAGAGGACCGGAGUGGACGCAUCACUGGUGUUCGGGUUGUCAUGCCAAUGGCACUGCCCGGUAGCUAAAUGCGGAAGAGAUAAGUGCUGAAAGCAUCUAAGCACGAAACUUGCCCCGAGAUGAGUUCUCCCUGACNNNNNNNNNNNNNNNNNNGUCCUGAAGGAACGUUGAAGACGACGACGUUGAUAGGCCGGGUGUGUAAGCGCAGCGAUGCGUUGAGCUAACCGGUACUAAUGAACCGUGAGGCUUAACCUU
rnacentral:rRNA from 1 species